UACGUAGGGUGCAAGCGUUGUCCGGAAUUACUGGGUGUAAAGGGUCCGCAGGCGGGCAAGCAAGUCGGUGGUGAAAGUUCACGGCUCAACCGUGAAAUUGCCUUCGAUACUGCUUGUCUUGAGUCCGAGAGAGGAUGAUGGAAUUCAUGGUGUAGCGGUGAAAUGCGUAGAGAUCAUGAAGAACACCAGUAGCGAAGGCGGUCAUCUGGCUCGGUACUGACGCUCAGGGACGAAAGCGUGGGUAGCAAACAGG
rnacentral:rRNA from 1 species